rnacentral:rRNA from 1 species
GAGGAUGCAAGCGUUAUCCGGAUUUAUUGGGUUUAAAGGGUGCGUAGGCUGUUUAUCAAGUCAGGGGUGAAAACCUGCAGCUCAACUGUAGAAUUGCCUCUGAUACUGAUAGGCUUGAAUACUGUUGCCGUGGGAGGAAUGAGUAGUGUAGCGGUGAAAUGCAUAGAUAUUACUCAGAACACCGAUUGCGAAGGCAUCUCACGAAACAGGGAUUGACGCUGAGGCACGAAAGCGUGGGGAGCAAA